rnacentral:rRNA from 1 species
CACGUAGGCACCAAGCGUUGUCCGGAUUUAUUGGGCGUAAAGAGCUCGUAGGCGGUUUAGUAAGUCAGGUGUGAAAUCUUUGGGCUUAACCCAAAGCGUGCACUUGAUACUGCUGUGACUUGAGUUCGGUAGGGGAGUGGGGAAUUCCUAGUGUAGCGGUGAAAUGCGCAGAUAUUCGGAAGAACACCAGUGGCGAAGGCGACUCGCUGGACAAGUAUUGACGCUGAGGUGCGAAAGCGUGGGGAGCAAACAGG